UACGGGGGGAGCAAGCGUUGUUCGGAUUUACUGGGCGUAAAGAGCGCGUAGGCGGUCCGAUAAGUCGGCUGUGAAAGUCAGGGGCUCAACCCUUGAAAGCCGGCCGAUACUGUCGGACUAGAGUCCGGAAGAGGCAAGUGGAAUUCCCGGUGUAGCGGUGAAAUGCGCAGAUAUCGGGAGGAACACCAAUGGCGAAGGCAGCUUGCUGGGACGGUACUGACGCUGAGGUGCGAAAGCGUGGGGAGCAAACAGG
rnacentral:rRNA from 1 species